CCAAUAGCGUAUAUUAAAGUUGUUGCAGUUAAAAAGCUCGUAGUUGAAUUUCGGGAUCAAUAUGUCGGUCGUGCCAUUAGUACGUACUGGCAUUAUUGAUUCCUACCUUCUGAAGAACCUCGAUGUCAUUAAUUUGGUGUCUUGGGGAAUCAGGACUGUUACUUGGAAAAAAUUAGAGUGUUUAAAGCAGGCUCGCGCUUGAAUACAUUAGCAUGGAAUAAUGAAAUAGGACGUUUGAUUCUAUUUUGUUGGUUUCUAGGAUUGACGUAAUGAUUAAUAGGGAUAGUUGGGGGCAUUAGUAUUCAAUUGUCAGAGGUGAAAUUCUUGGAUUUAUUGAAGACUAACUUCUGCGAAAGCAUUUGCCAAGGAUGUUUUCAUUAAUCAAGAACGAAAGUUAGGGGAUCGAAGACGAUCAGAUACCGUCGUAGUCUUAACCAUAAACUAUGCCGACUAGGGAUCGGACGAUGUUAAUUUUUUAAUGACUCGUUCGGCGCCUUACG
rnacentral:rRNA from 1 species